GCAGCCGCGGUAAUUCCAGCUCCAAUAGCGUAUAUAUUAAAGUUGUUGCAGUUAAAAAGCUCGUAGUUGAAUUUCGGGAUCAAUACGUCGGUCGUGCUUUUUUGGUACGCACUGGCGUCAUUGGUUUCUCCUUUCUGACGAACCAUGAUGUGAGUUAGGACUGUUACUUUGAAAAAAUUAGAGUGUUUAAAGCAGGCAUUAGCUUGAAUACAUUAGCAUGGAAUAAUGAAAUAGGACGUUCGAUCCUAUUUUGUUGGUUUCUAGGAUCAACGUAAUGAUUAAUAGGGAUAGUUGGG
rnacentral:rRNA from 1 species